rnacentral:lncRNA from 1 species
ACAGGUUCAAGUGAUCUUCCCACCUCAGCCUCCCAGGUAGCUGGGACUAUAAGCGAAGACCACCACACUUGGCUAUUUUUUUUUUCAGUAGAGAUGGGGUUUCACUAUGUUGCCCAGGCUUGUCUCCAACUCAUGAGUUCAAGCAAUCUGCCCAUCUUGGCCUCCAAAAGUGCUGAGAUUUACAGGAUAACAAAAUCCUGGAAAAGAGAUGCCAAGUAACUUUUCCAAGAUCAAUGAUCUAGUAACUGGCAGAGCUGGGUGCAAACCAAAGUGGUCUGACUUUGGAACUAAUAUAUGAAAUAUAAAUCAUCUUUUAAGUGGAGUGGCCCAAGAACACUUUAUAUAUGACCUAUAGAAAGAACACUCAACUCUUUCCUGAAAAACAGUACCAAGUUGAAGGCUGAAGAGGGAGUGAAUAAAUGGAAAAGUAUUUUUUUCUUAGGUAAGAAGACUAUAUUGCACAUGUACACAAAUUAUGUUAUGUACCAUUUGUUACACAAACAUUUUCAAUAGCAAUGACUGAGAAUACCCUGAGAUUCCAUCUGUAAAUGGACAGUAUAAAUAAAUGUGGUAUAUUCAUAU